AUGCGUGCAUACAUGCACACACAUGUGAAUGUGCUCAUACCACACGUGUCAGUGAGCGCAUGUGAGUACACAUGUGCGUGUGCACACCCACGCCCAGUGGCCAGAAACUCCCUCCGCGCGGGAGCGCGCCUGGCCAAGGUCACGCGUGUGCGCGCAUCGGUGUCAGCGGCUGGCGGGGAGCCGGGCGGGGGGGCCGCGGGGCCAGCCUUGGCCGGGGCAGCCGCGGGAGGAGGAGGAGGAGGAGGAGGGAAGUGCGGCUCAGACAGCGCGGCGCCAGCAAACACCUGCGAACAGCUCCGGGCACACAAUGGCAAAUACAGGUGGGAACCGCCGCCUCCGUCAGCGCAGCGAUUGCAUCAGACUCCGGCGCUUGCCAAGAGGCGAAUGAGCCGGAUCACGGGCCACCGGCGCGGCAGCGGCGCCGCUCUCGACCUUCACCGCUCCUCCUCCCCGGCAUUGGCUUUUUCCCUCCUCACCCCCUUUUCUGCACCCCUGCAGUGUAGCUGGGGUAGUAAAAGUAACGCCGGACUUACUCGGCCAGGAGCAUUUUUCUCGUUCCAGCUGUUCUCCCUGAGGGUUUUCCAGGAAAGCAUCGGCAUCCCACAACAGCCAAGAUGCAGUUGUUUCUGGAUGGACACCUUCAUCUGCCUUUCACCAUGCCCGGACAGCCCGCGGCACUGCAUCUGACCCCACCCAGAGGUGCCAGAGGAUACCCUUCCCUGGGGAGCCUGGGGACAUCAAACUGGGAGGAGGGAGGAAAGGUCCUAGGGGCUGGUGAUCCAGUUGUACCAGGUGGUGCUUUUUGGAAGCUCCACAUGCUGCUUUUCUCUGUGGAAAUGCCCACAGACAAGAAGCAUUUGGCAGGUGCCAGCUGCACCCCAAACUCCUGUUCUCUGUCACUGGGAUAGAGGCUGAAGCCAGUGUGUGUGGGUGAAGCUUCGUAUCACUCUGUGCUCCGAGACUCUUGUGUCUUCUCCCUCCUCCUCUUCCCAUGAUGCAGCCCUUAACCCAGCACCCCUGGAUGCUGGAGCACCCUGGGGACACCCCAGUGCCACGGGGCAGAACCCACAUCAUGCCUGGCUAAGCCCAUGGCAGCAAAAACAGAGCCCAGCACAGGGAAUAAAGAUGAUGGUGCUACAGGUGGGGGUGAAGUC
rnacentral:lncRNA from 1 species